UACAGAGGGUGCGAGCGUUGUUCGGAAUUAUUGGGCGUAAAGCGCGCGCAGGCGGGAUGGUAAGUCGGAUGUGAAAGCCCUCGGCUCAACCGAGGAAGUGCGUUCGAAACUACUGUUCUUGAGUGUCGGAGAGGGUGGCGGAAUUCCCGGUGUAGAAGUGAAAUUCGUAGAUAUCGGGAGGAACACCAGAGGCGAAGGCGGCCACCUGGACGAACACUGACGCUGAGGCGCGAAAGCGUGGGGAGCAAACAGG
rnacentral:rRNA from 1 species